UCCCGCCUCACCGUCCUCCGCGGCGCGGGGCUGCAGUUCAAGCCGACGGGCGGGGCCUGUGGGGGGCGGGGCGCGGAGACGUCAGCGCGCUGGCUGUGCGUCCGCACGCAGGCCCCGCCUCUCCUGGGGACGGGGCCUGAGGACGAGAGGCGGGACGUUCGAGGCGGGACGUUCGAGGCGAGGAAGGUGCGAAAGACAAAAACUGGAUUCAAAGCCAUGAACAUGAUGAAUACUGCCUCCCGGCCGGGUCCAGCUCACCUGACUGCCCAUCCUUGAUAACCAUGCAAGAACAGCACUGAAGGGGCUCAGGUCCCCUGCUGUCUGGGUAUCUUCUCAAAGACGAGGACUUCCUCACACAAUCUCUCCGUCAUGCCUGGCUUGGUGACUUCAUGCAGGACAAAGGCAUCACCUGUUCAUUUGUGAUGGGAGUGUUCAUGGUACAGCCACCCAUGAAGGAACUUGGGGGAAAACGAGACAGAGGGUGAGGGUAAGCUUGAUGGAUGUUUGAGUCAUAAAGAAUGAAAGGGUGAAAGUAUGAAGAAGCGUGUGGGAUGGAAUUGGAAUUCCUCCUUCCUACUUAUCCCUGGCUCUCAUCUGCCUUCUCCUGCCCUCUUCUCCACCCACCCCCAGCCUGAUCCAGGCCACAGGACUUUGUGCCUGAUCAGGUGAGUGUGCAGCACUUGGGUGCCAUCCCAGCAGGGAUGUGAAUGGCUUUAUAUGUGAGCACAAGAAAAUGUCUUCAAGCAUGGAUGUUGUUAUGGCAGGCAUUGCCCUUUCUUGGGAACGUGAUUUUUUUUUUUUCCAGCCAUGUAGGAUGACACUUCACCAGAUCUUGUCCUUGAUGUGAACUGUUAGCUUAUCAGGGUUGGUUUCCACCUUGUGAGUCUUUAUGAACUUGAAGUUGCCAAAAUAGGUGUUCUCCAGGGCCCCUUUGUUGAUGUGGGCCUUGUCUCUUGUGCUCAGGGUUCAGUGGUGCUGGGAUCACCCUGGAUCCCUAUUUGGCCUUAAGUCAGAGUGUCUGAAGGCACUGUUUCCUCAUCUAUGUCAUAUGGGACACAGCCUUCUUCAAGGACUGAGUGGAACAACUGCUCUCAAAGACUCCAAAGAGGGUAAGACCACAAAGAAAAAGGCAAAGGAGGUAUGGGGGUUCUUCAUGAAUAUGUGAUGAAAGAAGCUGCCAGAGCCACCCUUUGUACCAGUAUUGUCUUUUACUCCCAGAAGGGUUGAAAAUUCAGGGGCGGUAGGGCUCACCUGGCUCCUCCAGGCUCUCCACCUGCCCUAGCAACCUUUAACUCCUAUCAAGUGGGGCAGUCUUAGAGAGCAUGUACAGCCUAGAAUCUGAGAAAUUAAUUCAUUAUUUUAAUAAUUUUUUGAACAAUACUGCAUACCUUUCAUUGUGUUUGAGUUUUCCAACUUGAAGUUCUAAGAUUUUCAGCGACCCAUUAGGUGGAAAAGGCAGAACUAAAAGACUCAGGACAUGAGUCUCCCAUGCCAGUGAUCUCUUUCAUGUAUUUGGGACUCAAGAACUUCUCAUCAAAGGAGAGUUCAUAGUUUUAAAGUUCUCAGAGACUGGCCUUUUGUUACAUAGAAAGUAAUUCCUGGAUCCUGUUUCUUUGAGUAUCUCUGUAUAUGCUUUUUAUCUCUGAUAAAAACAAUCAGACAGGAUUUCUAUACCAGAAGGCUAGUAUCAGAGAGUCCCAAAUGGACAGCGGGAAAUGUUUGUGGAGAAAUGUCUCAGUCUUGCUCUGCUUCGGCAAUUCUGUUUCCCUCCCUCCUCUUCCCCAACUCUUGCCCGUGUGGAAAAACAUAAAAGUAUUAAAGCUCAUCGAUAGGGAGAUGAGGACACUUGCACUAGGAAACAUUUUCAACUUCUUUGUGCCCUCUUCCAGGGCUCAUAGCUGGUAUAACCUAAAGGCCAUCAUUCAGUUUGUUCAGAGUUGGACUGAGAGCACAAAGAGUUCCUUAGCAGUUUUCAGCUCAGACUUGGACUGAGAGCACAAAGAGUUGUUCCUUAGCAGUUGUCACUGACAUUAGACACAAAGGGAAUGGGCUCCCUGGGGUUAUAUAUCACCAUAUCUCACACCCCACAUCUUAUGUCAGGGCAGCCAAAAUGCAUGAAUUGCCUGCCCCUUCGGAGUGAAGAGCACACAACAUUUCUAAGAGCCCAGCUUCUUGGACCACAAAGUUCUUUAAAUUAGCAUGGGCAUGUGGAUGAAUGCCCUAGAUUGUCACUCGUUUUAUUUCAAACCAUAUAGUGAAGUCCAGUCACAGCUCUCUUUAUCAACAAUAGCCAAAUUAUGGAAAGAGCCCAAAUGUCCAUCAACUGAGGAAUGGAUAAAAAAGAUGUGGUUUAUAUAUACAAUGGAAUACCACUUAGCA